AAAUUUGAAUCUGGCCCCUUUGGGGUCCGAGUUGUAAUUUGGCAGAGGAGGUUCGGGUGCGGUCCCCGUCUAUGUGCCCUGGAACGGGCCGUCAUAGAGGGUGAGAAUCCCGUCUGGGAUGGGCGGCCGCGCCCGUGUGAAGCUCCUUCGACGAGUCGAGUUGUUUGGGGAUGCAGCUCAAGCGGGUGGUAUUUUUCAUCUAGGCAAAUACUGGCCGGAACCGAAGCGCAAAGUAGUGUGAUCGAUGUGAAAGCACUUGAAAGUGUGUUAAACAGCACGUGAAAUUGUUUGAAGGGAAGCGUUGUCCACCAGACUCGCCCGGGGGGGUUCAGCCGGCACGUGUGCCGGUGUACUCCUCUCCGGGCGGGCCAGCAUCGGUUUGGGCGGCUGGUGAAAGGCCCCGGGAAUGUGCCACCCUUCGGGGUGCCUUAUAGCCCGGGGUGCCAUACAGCCAGCCUGGACCGAGGCCCGCGCUUCGGCGAGGAUGCUGGCGUAAUGGUGGUCAACGGCCCGCCAAAA
rnacentral:rRNA from 1 species